rnacentral:rRNA from 1 species
GAUGAAUGCUGGCGGCGUGCCUAACACAUGCAAGUCGAGCGGUAAGGCCCCUUCGGGGGUACACGAGCGGCGGACGGCUGGGUAACGCGUGGGAACAUGCCCCGAAGUGAGGAAUAAGCUCCAGAAAUGGAGUCUAAUGCCGCAUAUGAUCUUCGGAUUAAAGGAUUUAUCCGCUUUGGGAGUGGCCUGCGUACGAUUAG